CAGGGACCCCUGGACCUGCCAGAGCCAGCGCCUCCGGCGGUAGCCAAUGUCAAAGGCUACCAAAUUAAUGCACAAGUGACAAGAACUGUGCAGUACUAGAGUUCAACAUCUUUGACUGAACCUUCCAGACCGUUCUUCCUGUGAAGCCAGACUCCUGCUACCUGGAUCCUACUGGCUCUCUGAAGAAGAUAACAAGGAGGGGCAGCCAGAGUCUACACCAAGACUCUCUUAUGGUGCUGUGCCUGGAUAUUUAAAAUGUCCUUCCCUGAAUCAUUCUCAAAGCUUCUGAAAACUCCAACAACGAAUUACCACAUGGAGUCUUCUCAGAAUUCUCAGACCACAAUGUCCUGAUAUCAGAAACAGUGAAGAACAGGGAGAGGGAUACUGCCUCGGAAGCCAGACACCGGAUGUUGGCACCUUAGCUUUGUCACACUUAGCUGUGCCA